GUCUCCACUAUGUUGUAAUGUCUCCAGUUUGUAGCCCUCUACCGUGAUGUCAUGUCUCCAGUCUCUAGGCCUUGACUAUGUUGUAAUGUCUCCAGUCUGUAGGCCUCCACUAUGUUGUCAUGUCUCCAGUCUGUAGGCCUCCACUAUGUUGUCAUGACUCCAGUCUGUAGGCCUCCACUAUGUUGUCAUGUCUCCAGUCUGUAGGCCUCCAUUACGUUGUCAUGUCUCCAGUCUGCUGGUCUCCAGUCUGUAGGCCUCCACUAUGAUGUCAUGUCCCCAGUCCGUAGUCCUCAGCUAUAAUGUCAUGUCCCCAGUCGGUAGGCCUCCACUAUGAUGUCAUGUCCCCAGUCCGUAGUCCUCAUCUAUAAUGUCAUGUCCCCAGUCGGUAGGCCUCCACUAUGAUGUAAUGUCUCCAGUCUGUAGGCCUCCACUAUGAUGUAAUGUCUCCAGUUUGUAGCCCUCUACCGUGAUGUCAUGUCUCCAGUCUCUAGGCCUUGACUUUGUUGUAUUGUCUCCAGUUUGUAGCCCUCUACCGUGAUGUCAUGUCUCCAGUCUCUAGGCCUUGACUAUGUUGUAAUGUCUCCAGUCUGUAGGCCUCCACUAUGUUGUCAUGACUCCAGUCUGUAGGCCUCCACUAUGUUGUCAUGUCUCCAGUCUGUAGGCCUCGACUAUGAUGUAAUGUCUCCAGUCUGUAGGCCUCCACUAUGAUGUCAUGUCCCCAGGCCGUAGUCCUCAUCUGUAAUGUCAUGUCCCCAGUCCGUAGGCCUCCACUAUGUUGUCAUGUCUCCAGUCUGUAGUCCUCCACUAUGAUGUCAUGUCUCCAGUCUGUAGGCCUCCGCUAUAAUUUCAUGUCUCCAGUCUGUAGUCCUCCACUAUGUUGUCAUGUCUCCAGUCUGUAGGCCUCCCCUAUGUUGCCAUGUCUGUAGUAUUCCACUAUAAUGUCAUGUCCCAAGUCCGUAGUCCUCCACUAUAAUGUCAUGUCCCCAGUCCGUAGUCCUCCACUAUGAUGUAAUGUCUCCAGUCUGUAGGCCUACACUAUGUUGUCAUGUCUCCAGACUGCAGGCCUCCAGUCUGUAGGCCUCCACUAUGUUGUCAUGUCUCCAGUCUGUAGGCCUCCACUAUGAUGUCAUGUCUCCAGUCUGUAGGCCUCCACUAUGUUGUCAUGUCUCCAGUCUGUAGGCCUCCACUAUGUUGUCAUGUCUCCAGUCUGU
rnacentral:lncRNA from 1 species